GACAGAGGGUGCAAACGUUGUUCGGAAUUACUGGGCGUAAAGCGCGUGUAGGCGGCUAAGUAAGUCGGGCGUGAAAUCCCACGGCUCAACCGUGGAAGUGCACUCGAAACUGCGUAGCUAGAGUCCUGGAGAGGAAGGUGGAAUGCUUGGUGUAGAGGUGAAAUUCGUAGAUAUCAAGCGGAACACCGGUGGCGAAGGCGGCCUUCUGGACAGUGACUGACGCUGAGACGCGAAGGCGUGGGGAGCGAACGGG
rnacentral:rRNA from 1 species